GCGCCCCAACAGGUAUUUCAAGGGUUCCUCCACCCUCCACCCCCCCGCCCCAAGACCCAGCCAGCGCCUUUCCCUCCUGCUUGGGCCGUUUCCAGCGGCCUCGCCAGCGUGAAGAAACGCAAACAAUGAUUUGAGAGAGUUACAGUCACUCCUGUAAAAAGUCUGACGAAGGCAAACGUUAGGGCACGGCCCUGGGUUAUGAAAGCGAAGCUGCAGGUACUUGGAGAAAAGUCGCGCUCGUGUUGUCAGGCGCUCAGCCCUCUGUCAUGCUUGUCGCUGGAAGCCCCCGCAUGAAUGUCCCCAGCAUUAUUCCACUGGGCUUCUGUUUUCUUAGACUUGUUUCUAUUUACAACUUGAAUGAGCGCGAGCAGCCAAACAUUCUCUUUAAAAAAUGUUUUCUGCAUGGAACAGUGCGCAAUCGUCUUUAAAUCGGACCAGAAGUUCACUGCCCCUGGAGGUGCCAGACCCUGUGAUGGUAGCUCUAUACACUUUGUGCAUUUUCGUAUUUUGGAUUUAAUUACAAGAGCUUUGUUUUGAGACACGUUACACACUUUGAAAAACUGGAGACCUGAGGUGGUGACAAACCAGGACUUGGGAUCACUGACGAGGACAAUCGGAGCUUUAUUCUAGUGUUCUUUGAGCAUUUGAGCAUGGAGCUGCUUCGACUGAGAAGUACUCACGUGGAUAUCACAUAACAAAGAUGUGAUUAAUGACGGAAAAGCACACUGAGAACGGACUGCUCCGGCCAGAAGUUAUGUGUAGGAAUCAUCUAACUCCUAAAAUAUUCCAUUUGCAAUGUACUACAUUUGGGACAUCGGUCCCUAAAGGCAUCUUUCUUGUGGAAUGUCCAUGUGGACACUGCCUAAGGGACUUUUUUUUUUUUUUUAAUUGGCUCAAGAACAGAGAACCAGGUUUGGGGUGGAUUAGAAAGAUAAAACAUCUCCAAAAGUCUUUUCUGCCUUUAAGCCCUGCAACUAAAGUGCCCUGGCUAUGACUGAUCAUCGUUUAAGUUAACAUGCUCAAGGUUGCACAGUACAUGGAAGGGCUGGGAUCUGAAUCGCCUGUACUACGCAACUAAUUGGAAUCAAGGUCAUAGAGGCCUUAUAAGCUAUGCCCAAGGCGUCAGGCUUUCAAGACUCAAGACCUCAACAGCAGUGUUUAGCUCCAAUUGAUGACUAAUGGGCAGAAGAGUACGUCUUAA